GGGCUCAGGGGCCGAGACCUAGCUGGGCUUGGGGCGGGGCCGAGACGGAGCGAGGGGUCCAGGGCGUGGGAAACGGGGAGGGGUUUGAGGAGGGGAUCGGAAUGUGGCUCAAGUUCGGGAGGCGUUACCUGCGGAGGGUUUGAGGCAGGUCCAGGAGCGAGCCCACGGUCCGCCGACGCGGGACCAGGGGCGGGCCCCAGGAUCCGGAGCUUCGGGCGGGGCCGAGUCCGGGUUUGGGGCCCGGAAGGCGGGGCCAGUUAGGGCGAGGGUCCCUGGGAUCGUCAGGUCAGGCCUUGGGCUAACGUAGGCACUCUCGCAGUUCCUCCGCCUUCAGGAAAGUCUUUUUAGCAGGGGCCUUACGGGUUCGCGCUUUGGUCCUGGAGGCCUUAUCCUAGCCUCCUCUGUAUCAGCGCCACCAGUCUGGGGCCCGAAAGGAGGGAGCUUUCCCUCUGUCCCCCAGCCUUUGGACUGUCACCAAACAAGCCAUUCGUUCACCAAAUACUUAUUAAGCGCCUACCAUGUGCCUGACAAGGGAGAUGUAACGGUGAGAAAAACUAGGUGUGGUCCAUGUCCUCCAGGGGCUCAGGGGCUCGUGGAAGAAGUGGACAUUGAAGUAUUUAUCACACAAAUGAGUAUAAAAGUACAAUAGCGAUAUCUGCCACGAAGCUGUUGUUCCCCACCAGAACCAAAUGAGCGCAAGAUCUGACAAAGAAAAAAAGAAGUUCAUCUUUUAUUCCCCCAAACCCUUUCAUUUAAAUCAAGAGGGUGGGAUGUGGUUAUUGCUGUGUUUUUAGGCAGAAUCAACGGUUUCUGGGUCUGAGAAGUUGCAUACACACUCUCAGUCCCUGUAUCCUGAGAUGGAGUCACCUGAGGAUCCACAGCAAGUCCUAACCAGGGAUGGGUCUGGGUGAUUAAGGAAGGUUGGCUUCAGAACUGGGCCAGAGGCACUGCUUUGCUUUUGCUGUUUUGAUCAGCUCUGUGCCUGCAUGAGACAAGGAAAAUCAAUGGGAACAGCUGGGGAAACUGAGUUACAGAGCUUUUCUGCACUGAGUCAUCAGGAGCAAAUGCUAGAUCAGAUAGAGUCUCUCUCUCUGCCACCCAGGCCAGAGUGCAGUUGACGCAGGGCAGGGGAGCCCCGAAGUGGAGCAUAGUGUGUCCGGAACUGGUGGGUUCUUGGUCUCCCUGACUUCAAGAAUGAAGCCACGGACCCUCGGGAAAUGAGGCUUCUCCCCAGGACCAGCAUUCCACGAAGGCAGCCCUUUUCUAGAUGGAGAAAACAGAACCUGAAGACACCCGUUUCCCUAAACUGCUCUCGCUCAUGUUUCUACAAGGCCUGGAGCUGAUAGGAAAAACCUCCCUUCUUUCCCAAAUGGUCCCCAGCUGCCCCGUUCACUGAAGGCCCUGCAGUCAGGAACGGUCAGGACUUCACACCCAGUUGUUGUGGGUGUUUGGCCGACACGACACUUCCUCUUGUGUGAUUCAUGGACCCGCAGCAUUGCGUCACCUGGGAGCUUUUGGUAUUGAAGACUCUCAGGGCUCACCCGGAAGGACCUGCUGGGCCAGAAUCUACAUUUUAACAAGAUGCCCAGAAACUCCUGGAGGGCAGAGGCAUGCCUGCCAUCUUCAUCAUUGCAUUACCACCACCCAACACUAUCGGGGGACCUGCCCUGAUAAUCAG
rnacentral:lncRNA from 1 species